GAUGAACGCUAGCUACAGGCUUAACACAUGCAAGUCGAGGGGAAACGACAUCGAAAGCUUGCUUUUGAUGGGCGUCGACCGGCGCACGGGUGAGUAACGCGUAUCCAACCUGCCCAUCACUUGGGAAUAACCUUGCGAAAGUAAGACUAAUACCCAAUGACAUCCCACGAAGACAUCUGAAUGGGAUUAAAGAUUUAUCGGUGAUGGAUGGGAAUGCGUCUGAUUAGCUUGUUGGCGGGGUAACGGCCCACCAAGGCAACGAUCAGUAGGGGUUCUGAGAGGAAGGUCCCCCACAUUGGAACUGAGACACGGUCCAAACUCCUACGGGAGGCAGCAGUGAGGAAUAUUGGUCAAUGGGCGAGAGCCUGAACCAGCCAAGUAGCGUGCAGGAUGACGGCCCUAUGGGUUGUAAACUGCUUUUAUAAGGGAAUAAAGUGGGUCUCGUGAGACUUUUUGCAUGUACCUUAUGAAUAAGGACCGGCUAAUUCCGUG
rnacentral:rRNA from 1 species